UAUUUUCUACUGAAAGGGAGCUAACUGCACAAUUUCCGCUAUGGGAGCUGUCACGCGGUGAGCUAUAGCCGGAUUCGUUACGGUAAUUGGGAGUUCUAGUGAGGUGGGUACGCCACUAGUGUUUGUGGCACCGAGGACGGCCAAACUGUCAUCCAGGUUAACCUCGCCCAGGGGAGAGACACGUCUCAGCUGCACAGCGCUCGGAUUCUCCAGCGUGGACAUUAUAGGCGUCUGGUUAAGAAGUGCAUUCGUUUCGUUGGUGCGAGCCGUGAUGGGUGGUGUGAGGUGUGCAGCAGCUGGCGGUAGCACGUGUGAGACAAACACGACGCCAUCGGACUCCUCGUCGCCAACGUCUAUGAGGCCAGUGCCGGCAGAGCUUCGUGUCUCUAUGUGUAGCAAAGCCACACUAGUGUUGGUGGCGUUUACAUAAUCGGUGUCGUUGACCACUUGGCAGUCAGCAAGUGCUUCGGCCAGCAGGUUCGUGCCGGGGACUGUAAUUUCCGAUGCUCUACAGACUUCCUCCUCGUCUAAGGUCAAAGAGUACCUGGCAUGUUGAAAUCCCCCAUAACUAUUAAAUCGUCUUUAUCAGAUAGCGAGGAAGAAACAGUUUUAAUGCGGACAAGUGCUGCUCGUAUAUUAAGACAUCCAAAGUCGGUGGAAUAUACGACACAGAGGAAUUCCAGGUCUUGUGAUACCUGGACUAUUAAAGGGCUCCGACGUGAAGUAAGAGUCCACUGCAAUCGGAAGUGUCUGGGCACACUGCAAGCACGUGGGGAACAUAACCUCUACGCCAGGUAAGUAUUGGAGCAAAACUUUAACAAGUUACAUAUUUCGACGUGGCGAUUUCCCCCUUGUAAAGGCUGGCGGCCAAAUAAUUCCCCUCUACCCAAGGGUAGAGCGGUAACUUAGAACUUAAAAAAUAAAAAAAAAGAUGAAGUUCUUAUUCCAAGGAUUCCGAUGAUCCCAACGGAUAUGCCC
rnacentral:lncRNA from 1 species